rnacentral:rRNA from 1 species
GUCUGACGCGAAAGUCCCCUUCGGGGGAUAAGUAGAGUGGCGCACGGGUGAGUAACACGUAGAUAUCUACCUUCGGGUGGGGAAUAACCCAGGAAACUUGGGCUAACACCGCAUAAUGCAGCAGGCACCACAUGGUGACAGUUGUUAAAGCGGGGGAUCUUAGGACCUCGCGCCUGAAGAGGAGCCUGCGGCGGAUUAGCUAGUUGGUGAGGUAACGGCUCACCAAGGUGACGAUCCGUAGCCGGCCUGAGAGGGCGGUCGGCACACUGACACUGACAUACGGGUCAGACUCCUACGGGAGGCAGCAGUCGGGAAUUUUGGGCAAUGGGCGAAAGCCUGACCCAGCAACGCCGCGUGAAGGAUGAAAUCCCUCGGGAUGUAAACUUCGCAAGAAUGGGAAGAAUUAGUAGGGGUUAUACCCCCUAUGAUGACGGUACCAUUUGUAAGCUCCCGGCUAACUCCGUGCCAGGCAGCCGCGGUAAUACGGGGGG